UACGUAGGGUCCGAGCGUUGUCCGGAUUUAUUGGGCGUAAAGAGCUCGUAGGCGGCUCAGUUAGUCGGAUGUGAAAACUCGGGGCUCAACCCCGAGACGCCAUCCGAUACUGCUGUGGCUUGAAUCUGGUAGGGGAGCACGGAAUUCCUGGUGUAGCGGUGAAAUGCGCAGAUAUCAGGAGGAACACCGGUGGCGAAGGCGGGUCUCUGGGCCGAUACUGACGCUGAGGAGCGAAAGCGUGGGGAGCGAACAGG
rnacentral:rRNA from 1 species